GGUAUGCUAACUAGGGUUGAGAUUUUGUUUAAAAAUAAUAAAAGUGAGAAGUAACAUUCCUUAGUCUAUUUAAUUUAAAAAAUAUUUUAUUUGAGUGGAUUAAUGCCAUGUUUUGUUAGUAAAAAAUACAAAUGGGUAUACUAAGAGAUUACUUUAAAGUGUAAAAAGUUUUAUUAAAAUACUGCUUUUGGAGGAAUUAUAAUUGUAUAAGUUUGGGUUUUUCCUAACUAGGUUCAAGAUUUUGUUUUAAAAAAUUUAUAAAGAAAAGGAGGCGUUAUGAGUGAAUUAAGGUU